ACGCGCCCCUCUGGCAUUUUCUGGAAGCUCGUACCCAGAUACGUGACGCCGCCAUGACACCUACUUUCAGAGAGUAGUACGCGCAAUGUCGUUUGUGAGAUUAAAAGAUUUCGUGAUUCGAUUUGAAUAGUGUAUACACGCGAGAAGCAGCUUCCAGCAUCAGGUACGACUCGGUGGAUUCUGCCCACGUAUCUGGUUGUGUGGCUACACCAUAAAGCACAGUUAUCGCGUCGCAGUUGUCUCAACCUCUACGUUUUAUCCAAGUGCGCUACCGGUACUGCUUGUCUUCGUUAAGGAAACAUGAAAAUCGUAACAGGACUGUGAUAACAACAACAAUAUAUAGUGGGAGCGACGUAAGAGUAUCUCAAGAAUCCCGCAAUUCAAACGUAGCAUGCAUACCAGUACGUCCCGAGAGUAAGCAUCCUCGGGUACCGAGAAGAAACCUUUUUCUGCGCGCUUACGAGAGAGAUUCCUAGAGUCUGAUAAAGGUGACUGAGAGAAGCUGUCGAGAGAGAACGAUCGGUAGCUCAUUAAACACAUCAUCAUAUCUGCUACCACUGACAGCCACCUACUGUGACUUUGGCUUUGAGUUUAUACAAAAUUUAAUGAUUGUGACCUACACGCGUGUCUUUGGAUAGGCAUAGUAACAAGGACAAUAAGUAUCCAUAAUUCUAUUCUGAAUACUCAACAUCAAAAUAAUUGCCAUUCUAAGAUUCAUUAGGAUCGAAAUAACUUAUCACUGCUGAUGCUGAUAGGCGCACGAGCUCAUUCGAAAAUUAGCCGACUCCUCGCCGUUAUCGCUUUUAAUACCUUGAGUUUUCUCGUCACGACCAUAGAUUGCUCGAGACCGUGGUAGCGGGGACACCCCGCUGGGCAUCCCAACACUAUCGGUCCAGCAUCAGCCACGGAUUUCAGAAGCUACCAGCUUAUAUCCGAGUGUUUAUAUGUUUAUGCUUAUGUGUGCUGGAGUCUUUACGGACCCCCCGUUGACAUUACUGCACGUUCCAAUGGAAAGAAAGGCAUCGCGAAGGACUGGACUUCGGGCGUUGAUUCCGGAAAAUGAAGUGCACUCUGUUCCACGACGCUACCUUCUAGUACGUAAUGGUACACCUUAUAUCUACGUAAUGCCACAGGUAGGCAUGCCAGGGACUUGUCGAUGAAAAUUAAUUAAUGAUCCGGUGACUAGAGGACUUUACAAUUACUAUGUGCUUGGACAGAAGGUCGAUUAUUACUUAAUCGACGUGUUGUUCAUUCUCGUUCCAGUGGGACCACCCAUGUAUUGAACGUACGAAAGCUGUUGUGUACGUAUCGUACGUAUGUAGCGACAUGAAAAUAGAAGCAUUGUAUAAGGAUGGGAACCAUUAAAAAGCAAUGACAAAGCAGUUGCACCGGCUAAGCAGUUCCAUACAGAUUACGGAUCACAUUAAAAUGUCUUUGUGUGCGCGGACCUAUUACAGAAAUAAAUGCAUAACAACGCGGUCGCCACGGCGCCCAGAUUUAAUUAUGAUUUAACCGGCUUAUUAAUACUCAACAAGGAUUUCUGGCUGGCGUAACUUUCCACCCCCUUAUUUCACUUAUAUACUUCAUGACCAAACAAGAAUGUACGGUGUCUACCUUAAGUCGCGCUAUGGAAACGGAAUACGAUUUACAACGGCUGAAUAUCCAGAAUAGGAUUUCGCUCUUUCGGACGUAUCAACCUUUCGAAAAUGCGAAACACCCGGGACUGCGAGAUUCACUCCAAGUCUGGGGCAAGGCGAGGCAAGAUCGUUUAUCAUAUAGGAAACAAUAGGAACUGGCAAAACACGUGCUUCGCGCCGCUGCAAAGCCACAAAGCCAGAUACAUAAUACGAGUCGAGGUAGUGGGAUAAAUAGGAAAAAACGAGUGGAAGCUCUCGGCGAGAGCGGGCUCCUUCAUUUGUUGAAACAAUAUAACAAUUCAUUUUUGUCACAUCCAACGUCGAAGGGUUCUUAUUGUGGGUUGGCUCACGGAAUUGUUUUCAGCUCGAUAAACUAUUGUCGGACCGCCUGGAAUAUAAAGUCUCCCCUAUCCAGUCUCGGCCGAUACUUCUGCCUACGAUGCGAAUCGCUGACUCGCCUCUUUUCGCCUGGUUUUCGACAUUUUUCAACGUUCCUCUCGGUCGGCGAGCUUUAUUGCCACAUCCGGAAGAGAAUUACGUCCAAUGUCCUCGUUAGUUCGACGGUACGUCAACCCCUCCGAAGAGAGUGAUACGGUCGGGAACGACGAGCAGCGACCUCAUGAUCAGACUAUACAAGUGUCCAGUUGGCGGGUAUUGGAUUAAAAAUUAUGAGGAUUCGUUUGGCUACGCUCUCCAUACAUAUAUCUGCAUGCGCAUGCGCAUACCUACCUGGUGCCAGGUAAGGUGACAAAAUUUAAUAUACCGUAAAGUUUAAUCUGACGAUAGAUUCGCGGCCAGGAACACCAUCGUGGACGCACAUACUAAAGCCGGUCCUGACCGACCAUAAGUUAGGUGCCACCGGCAGCCCAGGACCGAUGAAAAAUAUUCAUGGCUGUACAUUAUUUACAUAUUUAUACAUUAAACGCUCAACCUGGGGAUAUGUGGGAUUCUCCGGUUGCCGUUUCGUGUAUGAAUCGACGAUGCACCUAUCGAUAAGCGAUAGGUACCAGAUGAUCGUUAUACCAGUGGUUACAGGAAUUACAUACUUUUACGUGGAGCUUUACUCAAAUAUCCUUUUUUCUAUAAAUCAUCAGCCAUUAUUCCUGCUCCGUGUAAGACUUGAGUUCAUCCGAUCCCACAGAUGCGUCUUAUGGUUUUCAACGUGUAGCUAACUGUACGUCGUGAUGUACAAUCAUGUUGGCCACGCGUCGGUUACACCGGUCCUCGUAAAGCAUGCUUUAUUUGUUUGUAAUCAAGUUCGAGAAGGUGGGCGCGUGUACUUUUCGAUGUAACGCGAUACCGCAAGGACGGACAAUCUUAUUAAAUUACGAUGUGGAGACACGGUCGGGCUUUUUGAACCUUCUCGUAUCCGCUGACAAACCUGCUGGCGAGACAACGAUAAGAUGAAGUCACCGGCGAUACCAGUCACAUGUUAACUACACGAUUCGUUGAAAGGAUAUUGGCCAGAGUACCAGGACGUAAUUUACGCUUUGAUGGUGGAACGAACGAUAAACCGUAGUCACCUACUACGUGGACCAAGAGUUCCGUAAUUUCGUAUGCGAUCCGCGGGGGCCCGUCAAAAUGCGCCGACUAUGUCGCGGGCCCUCCUAAUAAAACACAGGCCAGAAACGAGAAGAGGGACGAAUCAAAGGGGAAUAAUCAUUUACGAAGAUGGUAUGGAAUUCGUACGAUGACGAGUGUCCUCCGAAUAUCGGAUCCGGUCCGAGCACGUGCUCCCGUCCGAUAUCGAUAUCCGUAUCCGGGAGAAUUAUGCAAAAAGCACGAAGCCAGAUGAAAUCGGCCGAGAUCAAAACCUUCUGGACGUUUCGACAAAUUGACUGGAUUUAUGGAUCGGUGAUGGACCAAGCGCCUGGAUCGGAGGCGUUAUCGUGAAAAUCUCCGUAGCUUCCGAGAAGCGGCAGUCGUACGAAUAAAAUGUAUCGUGGCUCCCUUCGUCAUGGCGUCGGGGACACGUAUAAUUUCGACGUUCGUGCGCUCCCUCCGUCGUGGCGUCACUCGCUCAAGAAUUUUCCACAUUCCAAGUGCGGCUGGCCCAAAAGCGGCCGGCUCCGAGAAACAAGCCAGCAGAAUGUAAGCUUCCAUACAUUAACGUCCUACGCAGGAGUUCUGCAGGACGAUUUACAUGACGUGUCGUCAUGGGAACGUGAAGAACUCAGCGUUGGCAGGGAUCGGGCCCCGAAGGACUUAUUCCAAAUGUUACCACGAGGAGACCAACGAAAACUGGGCCCGAUAGCUGAACUCGGCUAGAUUUCACUGACGAUAUGCUUCGCCGACGUACAAUAUGACGGUCCUGGAACGUGACGAGACUCUACGAUUAAUUCGUGGGCAUCGCCGACCCGGUUUCCGGUUUCAAUGGCACCCCCUACUAACGAGUCUUAUGACGAUUUGCCAUUUUAUUAUGAAUACUUGAAGGAAUUUCAUUAUCUACCUACUCCACUUCUUCUUCUUCUUGAUUGCCACUGUGUAUACCUCAGCCAAAUGCAGAACCAGUCGAGGGUCAAGAAAACGUCGCGUCAUCCGGCGGUCCUCCAUCUUUCAUCAGGUUUAUUGAAGGCGUCGAAAUUUGAUUAGGAACGUUCGAGCUUCGCUGGGAUCGUCUCCGCGCAUUUAUCCCUCUAGUGAUUCCUUGACGAGCGUCACGAAUGUUUCUCGGAUCGGUAUCGUCUUGAUCUAAUAACGAUCUCUCUCUCUCUUCCCUUUUUUUCUGUUUUCUUUUUUUUUUUCUUCUCUUCAGAAACUCGUGACACUCAAAUACCGAUCUGUUCUACUUAUGUCGAGGAAGAGACCUUUGGGGCUCUUUGAUUAUUCUACCGUUAACGAUAUAGAUACAGCUGGAUCGGUACUAUCGUUACGCAAAAAGGAUCGAUAAGUUCGGCGAAAUGUUUAUUGUAGGCAUCGGGUUCUCAUGUAUUUAUCCGUUUUCUUUGCUCCUUUUUUCGAUUUCGUCAAUCUGAAGUGGUCAUGUAGGAACAAUGGUAAUUACAAGGUGGGCCAUUAGUACAAUACGCUUCUCGGCAUGGGGCAGGUGUCUUUAGUCCACUCUCCCACACACGAGUAGAGAUGGAUAGAAGCUAUAACCGAUUAACGAUCAAUAUUAUACAUACCAUAUUUAUAAUAAGAUCCAUAGCUCCUUAAGUAAUAAAUAUUUCUCUAGAUACUUCAAAUGCUGCGUUGAUCUUUGACAAACAAAUAUUUCACUAAUGUAUAUCAUGAUAUAAAAAUCUGUGAAAUCACUGUAAUAAAUUAAAAACAAAUUUUCUCUUUUUAAAUAAGAACAAUUUUUUUUUUGG